CGAAGGUGGGGCUGAUGACUGGGGUGAAGUCGUAACCAAGGUAGCCGUACCGGAAGGUGCGGCUGGAUCACCUCCUAACAGGGAGACAAAAACUGAUUAUGAUGUCUGAUUUAAAAAUUUAGGCCGUAAUCCUGUCACCUUAGGUCGAUCGGUACCUCAGAUUCACAAUUUCAAAAAGGUAUUUGAUUGUUUUUUAGUAUUUGUGAAUUUCAGUUCCUAAACUUGUCUAGGUCACACCCAACAAACUUUCUCCUGGGCUAUUAGCUCAGGCGGUUAGAGCGCACCCCUGAUAAGGGUGAGGUCCCUGGUUCAAGUCCAGGAUGGCCCAUUCGUUGUUGGGGGUAUAGCUCAGUUGGUAGAGCGCCUGCUUUGCAAGCAGGAUGUCAGCGGUUCGAGUCCGCUUACCUCCACUGAUCAACUACCUGAUAACUCAAUUUGGAGAUUGUAUUUUGCUUAAUGUGAUUUAGACCUUGUUCAUCUGAAUGAACCUAGCUUCCUAUCAUACCUUUACUAAUUGAAGGCUGAUAAGACGCUGGGCUCACUGAUUCUCUUAUGACAAUCAGUUUGAUUCAGCAGAACCUUGACAACUGCAUAGGAAAGUCUAGAAAAAUAAAGCAUCUCAUAGAUGCAUGUCAUCUUAUUGUUCAUUAUUAAUGAGCAGUAGAUACAUGUUAAUUCUUGAGUUAGAGCAUAAUUUCUAUAAUUUAAUUCACUUAGAAAUAGGUGAUGAACUAAUUAAAUUUAGUGAUUUUAUAGAUAUUAUUAAUGGUCAAGCUACAA
rnacentral:misc_RNA from 1 species